rnacentral:rRNA from 1 species
UUACCGAGUCUUCAGCGCUCCCAAAACCCCCGCGAACCCUACCCGCACCGUUGCUUCGGCGGGCGGCCCCGGCCAGUCGGGGCGGCCCCCGGCCCCCCCCAAAAAGGGGCCGGGCGCCCGCCGCAGGCACGCAGACCCUACAGUUUUCCCACGGGCCCUCUGAGACGACACGGAAAUAGAGUCAAAACUUUCAACAACGGAUCUCUUGGUUCUGGCAUCGAUGAAGAACGCAGCGAAAUGCGAUAAGUAAUGUGAAUUGCAGACUUCAGUGAAUCAUCGAAUCUUUGAACGCACAUUGCGCCCGCCAGCACUCUGGCGGGCAUGCCUGUCCGAGCGUCAUUUCAACCCCUCAAGCACCGCUUGGCGUUGGGGGCCCCUCCCCGCGGUCCGCCGCGGGGACCCCCGAAAAGCAGUGGCGGGCUCGCCGCGACCCCGAGCGCAGUAACUUACUCCCCGCUCCGGGCCGUCGCGGCGGGCGCCUGCCGUGAAAACCGGGCCGCCGCCCCCCCCGCGGGGCGCCCGACCCCCCCCCACAAGGUUGACCUCGGAUCAGGUAGGAAUACCCGCUGAACUUAAGCAUAUCAAUAAGCGGAGGAAAAGAAACCAACAGGGAUUGCCCCAGUAACGGCGAGUGAAGCGGCAACAGCUCAAAUUUGAAAUCUGGCCCCCCGCGGGCCCGAGUUGUAAUUUGCAGAGGAUGCUCCGGGCGCGGCGCCUUCCGAGUCCCCUGGAACGGGGCGCCAGAGAGGGUGAGAGCCCCGUAUGGUCGGACGCCUAGCCCGUGUGGAGCUCCUUCGACGAGUCGAGUAGUUUGGGAAUGCUGCUCUAAACGGGAGGUACAUUCCUCCUAAAGCUAAAUACCGGCCAGAGACCGAUAGCGCACAAGUAGAGUGAUCGAAAGAUGAAAAGCACUUUGAAAAGAGGGUUAAACAGCACGUGAAAUUGUUGAAAGGGAAGCGCCCGUGACCAGACCUGCGCCGGGCGGAUCAUCCAGCGUUCUCGCUGGUGCACUCCGCCCGGCCCAGGCCAGCAUCGGCUCCCGCGGGGGGACAAAGGCGCCGGGAACGUGGCUCCUUCGGGAGUGUUAUAGCCCGGCGCGCAAUGCCCCCGCCGGGGGCCGAGGAUCGCGCU